AGUUCUGCUGAUUGCAACACUGAAGAUCCAAUUUGCUUCUCGCGGUUUCAUGGGGACAUCGAUACAAGGCAUUCCUUUCCACUGAAAGAAAAAUGUUUUUUUUCAAAGCCAAUACCAGUGAGCACGAAUGCGUUGCGUUACACAAACAGAGCGGCGUUGUGUUACAUCACGGCAAAAUAUGUGGCGUACUCUUCAUUUAGUCACGCUCGAGCUUUUGAUGCUUUCAGGAUUGAGAGUUCGGCUUAAGAAAUUUUAUUGCGAUGGUUCUUUUUUUUUUUUUUAAGUUAAAGAAUUUGGCAAUUGUCUCUCAAAUGAAAUUGAAAGACAGUAAAACAUCCAAUUCGUUCUGGUGACAAUGAUUGAGUAAUCUGAAAGCGUUUCCAUUCCAUUCAUUUUAGGACAAUUCUUGAGGGGCAUACUUUGGGUUCCUUCGAAGAUAAGAAAUGUCUUCACUCUACCGCCAUUGUAACAAUGGCACUCGGAAAACCACAACAAAAGUUGUUAUUCCUUAUGUACGGUGCAUAUUGGAAAGGGGCCGAGAGUUAGUUCAAGUUAAAAAAAUAUUAUUUUUUUCACUGUUUAUCGAAAACUGUAUUAUUUACAUUGCUGGACAAUUGGAACAUGUCAAGCGUAGCCCUGAACUUCGCUAAGGGCACUUAAAUCUUUUGUAAAACAAAUUAUUUUUAAAAAGCACAUCAAAGAGUCGGUGUCGUAGAAAGAUGACCCGAGUGUAGCACUGUAAUGAGAAACACACCCCUUCUUUAAAGACCUACAAAAGCCCACAAAUUUACGGGAAAAUGAAUUAAGAAUUUGCCAGUUCGUGUGUGGUAUCCUACCUGAGGUCAAAAUCUUGAAAUGUUUCAAAUAUAUAGUAUGAUAAUUGUAACUUCUUACAGUGUUUUCAUAAUUGUAAUAAAAUGCAAAGAAUUCCAUUCUUAUCGCGGGCCCUUGCGGGCAACUAAGUUUUAUUCCUGUUUAGGAAUUUUUAGAUCCGUUUUUCUCAAGGUACUUAUGCAAAGCCAGUAUUGUAAUUUGCAAGAAUGUGUCUCAGAUCCUAAAGAAUUGUGUUCAGUAGACUUAAGUAAAAAAGACAUUUACUUCCUAUCUGUGUCCGGUUUAAGAAGUAAACAUGUUAGGAAUUAUCUGCAUUUAAGACUAAGAUAUUGGGAUAUUGCUUCUAAUAUUUCAAAACCUCAAGAAUCUUAAUUAACGAAAGAGUGUUUUUUUUUUAUUUUCCGUGUCAACAGUUCACCUGCAUAACAACUUCCCGCCAAAAGUAAGCGCGGGAAAAGUUCGGAUGCACAGGCCACACGCGGAUGUUGGCGAAUCCACAAUUCCUAGCAGCAGCAGCGCGUGACGUUUGGCUGGAAAAAAAAAUUCUACCACUGUACUAAACGAAUGCAGAUCAAAAUACUCAGAAUUACAGAGGCCAAGAAUGCACAAUU